rnacentral:rRNA from 1 species
GUUCGUAGGUGGUGCGGCAAGUUGGGAGUGAAAUCUCUGGGCUUAACUCAGAGGCUGCUUUCAAAACUGCCGUGCUCGAGUGCGAGAGAGGUCAGUGGAAUUGCAGGUGUAGCGGUGAAAUGCGUAGAUAUCUGCAGGAACACCCGUGGCGAAGGCGGCUGACUGGAUCGCAACUGACACUGAGGAACGAAAGCUAGGGGAGCAAACAGGAUUAGAUACCCUGGUAGUCCUAGCCCUAAACCAUCAGAACUUGGGGUGGCCCGCGUAGGCGGGUCGUCCCGUAGCUAACGCGUUAAGUUCUGCGCCUGGGGAGUACGGUCGCAAGACUGAAACUCAAAGGAAUUGACGGGGGCCCGCACAAGCGGUGGAACAUGUGGUUCAAUUCGACGCAACGCGAAGAACCUUACCUGGGCUUGAACCGCUACUGACCAAGGGUAGAAAUAUCCUCUUCCCGCAAGGGACAGUAGUAGAGGUGCUGCAUGGCUGUCGUCAGCUCGUGCCGUGAGGUGUUGGGUUAAGUCCCGCAACGAGCGCAACCCUUAUUCGUAGUU